rnacentral:rRNA from 1 species
UGGGGAAUUUUGGACAAUGGGGGAAACCCUGAUCCAGCCAUCCCGCGUGUGCGAUGAAGGCCUUCGGGUUGUAAAGCACUUUUGGCAGGAAAGAAACGUCGCGGGUUAAUACCCCGCGAAACUGACGGUACCUGCAGAAUAAGCACCGGCUAACUACGUGCCAGCAGCCGCGGUAAUACGUAGGGUGCAAGCGUUAAUCGGAAUUACUGGGCGUAAAGCGUGCGCAGGCGGUUCGGAAAGAAAGAUGUGAAAUCCCAGAGCUUAACUUUGGAACUGCAUUUUUAACUACCGGGCUAGAGUGUGUCAGAGGGAGGUGGAAUUCCGCGUGUAGCAGUGAAAUGCGUAGAUAUGCGGAGGAACACCGAUGGCGAAGGCAGCCUCCUGGGGAUAACACUGACGCUCAUGCACGAAAAGCGUGGGGAGCAAACAGGAUUAGAUACCCUGGUAGUCCACGCCCUAAAACGAUGUCAACUAGCUGUUGGGGGCCUUUCGGGCCUUGGUAGCGCAGCUAAACGCGUGAAGUUUGACCGCCUGGGGAGUACGGUC